CUGCAAAUAUUUUCGCCGUUCUGGUUUUGUAGUCAGGACAGGCUAAACAUUCACUAUAUUAAGGUCGGGCUCAGUGACUCAUGCCUGUAAUUCCAGCAUUUUGGGAGGCCGAGGUGAGAG
rnacentral:snoRNA from 1 species